rnacentral:rRNA from 1 species
UGUGAAUUGCAGAAUUCAGUGAAUCAUCGAAUCUUUGAACGCACAUUGCGCCCCUUGGUAUCCCGAGGGGCAUGCCUGUUCGAGCGUCAUU